CUGGAGAGGUAUGAAACAUUUUUGAAAUUUUAAGGAGUUUCAUCGAAGUUUUAAAAUUUGUUUUUGGAGAGAGAGAGAUUUUCCUCAAAAAAAAUUAGCGCCAAAUUUGCCGGGAAGAUUUGAAAAUCCACCUUCUUCGGUCGUCAGUCACGAGAGUUCAUACCGAGAGAGAGAGAGAGAGAGAAUGGUGCGACACUCAAUUCCAGAUCUCCACGCACAUGAUUUCUUCCAGGUUCCAGGUUCUUCGUGCUCGCUUUCAAAUCUUUCUGAGCCCCCUGAUAUAAGAAACUGGUUUUCAAGCUAUGUGUAUGAAUCUCCGGAGUUGGAUACAACUGAUAACCCUGGUUCAUUUCUCGGAGGCACUGAAAGUCAGAAAGAGGGUUUUGAGGUUGAAGAAAGCAAAAAAGAAGAAAAUGAGAAUUUUGAAGAGUUCAAAGAAACUAGGAACAGUGACGAGUUGUCUGUUGAUGAGAAGAGGGCAUCAGGCCCUGUUAGCGAUGAUAUGCAGGAAGAUCUGUCUGCAGAGGUUUUGGGUUCAUACCCACUUCCACUUCCUUCGGAGCCACCUGACAUAAGAAACUGGUUCUCGAGUUAUGCAUAUGAAUCGCCUUUAUUGGAUAUAUGCAAGGAUUUUGGGUGUUCUGUUCCUAGAGAAGGUGAAUGCAAGAAAGAUGGCCUCAGUGUCAGAGACAGUCAUAGAGAAAAAGAAAAUAAUUUGGAGGUGUUAAUAACAAAUAAAAAAGAGGAUGAACUGUUUUUUGGUGAGAAAAUAGCUUCAAGCAGGUUUGUUAGAUGCGAAAGAUCUGUCAGAGAUGAUCAAAUUGGCACUGAGUUACUAGAUAAGGGCGCUGUUGGGUUUGAGGGGAAGAAAAACCUGUCUGGUCAGAUUAAUUUGUGUUCAGAAAAUAUAUCUGGUCAAUGCUUGGAAACAAAAGCAUUACAGAACUAUGACUUUACUUCAAGCUUGUAUAAUGAAAAUAAUUUAUGGGAGAAGGAUGCAAAAUCAUCCAGAAAAAGAAAUCCUGUGUUGAUUACUGAUGUUAAGUCACAUAUAGAAUCUCCCAAGAAGUUGCUCAACAAAAGGGGUUGGAUAGAAGAGGCUUCUGAAGUGAAGACCCAUAUGGAAAGAGUUAAUACAAUCUUCCCUGUAGAUUAUAUGGAUGAGAAUCUAGUUGUCGGGAUCUCAGGAAGGAAAACUAGAAGAAGCAGUGACAAAGAAAAUGGAGGACAAGCCCUUGCAGAAAAUAGUUUCAUUUCGACAAGGAAGGGAAAAAGUAUGGGAGGAAAUGAGAUAAAGUCACUGAAAAGACUAGAAAAUGUUGAAUUCGAGCCACUGCGAAAUACAGGAGCAGUUUCUUCAGCUGGUGAAAAGAUUAAUGCUGUGCCAAGAAAGGUGUUAUUGGAAACAACUAAUUUUCAACACACUGAUGAGCUGGAGAUUGCUGGGAAAUGGCGGUGUCCCCAGAAAGGUAAACCGAACCUUGGACCUCCAUUGAAGCAGCUUCGACUUGAGCGGUGGAUUAAUCGGGUAUGAGAGCAAGCACAAUGUCUAGGAGAAGGCCAACAGCAUCAGGUCAAUCACAUGUGAACUUGUGGUAUGAUGUUCUGCCUAGAUGGCAUACCAAUACAUUGUGUUGCUUAAUUAGUUGAUCUUUCCAGAUGGAUGCCGAGGACUAACAUUAUUCAGUUGGACUCAAGAUAUUCAACUGGUGUGGAAUUUUGUUUCCGACUCAUCUCCACCUGAAUUUGAUACCUUUCGUUUGCUUCUUCAAAUCAGGUCCAAAGCUUAAUUUUACUCGUUUGGCAGUUACCAUUAAGUUAUAAGCACCAAUAAACCAAGAGGUCUAUUGUGUGAGGUCAGUUUUGCGGAGCAGUUGAACUUUCCAAAGAUCAUAAUGCAUUGUUAUAUGAAGUAGCCUAGUGCAAAUGCCGGUCAAGAAGGCUUUCAUUUUUCCUUUUCCCAAUAUCAAAAUGAAUGUGACAGCUCGGUACAAUCAGAAUGCAAAUGCUUCUUUUAAAGAAUGUUAAUGAGCCAAUGACAUGAAAAUUUGGGUGAGCAACUCCCUUGAUGUUAACAAGUGGUUUGAGAUGGCUCACGACUAUGGGAAGGGUAUUGGGAGGGAUAGUUUGGUGUGGCCACCCUUGUGGGAGCAUUGGGUAGGUCACUAGACCUUCAAAAAAAAAAAAAAAGCAAUCCGAGUUCUACACAAGCAAGCAGUCAAAUGGUGUUUUGAAUUCAUUUAUAGUAAACACUAAUUGGAUACAGAUGAUAUGCAAGAUGUUUUUCUUUAUUUUUUUUAAUAAAAUUAAUUAUAUA